UUCAAGAAACCUACCUGCAAAGCUACAGUACUGUUAAAAGUAUUAGGCACUUGUGUAAAAAUGCUGUCAAAUGAGAAUGCUGUCAAAUUUUCUUUAUCAGUUAACUUCUAUUACCUAAAUUAAAUCAACAUUUGGUGUGAGCAUCCUUUGUGUUUAAAGCAGGUUUUGCCCUCGGUGCACUUGAGCAGAGUUUCUCAGGAGCUUUGCAGGUAGGUUUCUUGGAUAUGCUAUUUACCCAUCAUACAUAUAAAGUUUAAGACAUCAUCUAACUCCUUAUUGUCAGACAUAUCAGAACGGAAAAGAACCUUACUGAUGGAAAUACUACAGAGCUGGUGGAUUUAUUUAUAUUAAGCCACGCUGCAGAUGCUGUGAAGAGGUGAAGCCCAAAUGAUACAGACUCAGACAUGGAUGCAGCAGUGCCAGAACACCUGAAGCAUGCUCCAGGAAGUGCUGGGGCUUGUGGAUAUAAAAAAUUAGCCAUAAACAACUUUCACAAACUCUAAAAACAUUUACACAUGUGUUAACCAUUAUACAGUAUUUUUGUUGUUUACUUGUUUGAUUUAUGGCUGUUUAACAAUAAUGCAAGACUGUUGGGGGGAAAAAAAUAGUACUGCCACAGCUCUGACUUCCAUG